GGCAGUGUGGCUCAGUGGAAAGAGCCCGGGCUUGGGCUUGGGAGUCAGAGGUCAUGGGUUUGAAUCCCGGCUCUGCCA
rnacentral:tRNA from 1 species